rnacentral:rRNA from 1 species
UACGUAGGGUGCAAGCGUUGUCCGGAAUUAUUGGGCGUAAAGAGCUCGUAGGCGGUCUGCCGCGUCUGCUGUGAAAACUCAGGGCUUAACCCUGAGCUUGCAGUGGGUACGGGCAGACUAGAGUGCGGUAGGGGAGACUGGAAUUCCUGGUGUAGCGGUGAAAUGCGCAGAUAUCAGGAAGAACACCCGUGGCUAAGGCGGCUCUCUAGUACGGUACUGACGCUGAGACGCGAAAGCGUGGGGAGCGAACAGG